rnacentral:rRNA from 1 species
UCCUACGGGAGGCAGCAGUGGGGAAUAUUGCACAAUGGGGGGAACCCUGAUGCAGCGACGCCGCGUGAGUGAAGAAGUAUUUCGGUAUGUAAAGCUCUAUCAGCAGGGAAGAAGAUGACGGUACCUGACUAAGAAGCAUCGGCUAACUCCGUGCCAGCAGCCGCGGUAAUACGGAGGAUGCGAGCGUUAUCCGGAUUUAUUGGGUUUAAAGGGUGCGCAGGCGGUCUGUUAAAUCAGCGGUCAAAGCCCGGGGCUCAACCCCGGCCCGCCGUUGAAACUGGCAGUCUCGAGUUGGAGAGAAGUAU